AUGGCCCACAUAUCAGAUAUUAAACUGAUAAGAACAGAUACUACACUUGAUCUUAGCCAAAAGGCCGAGAAAGAUAUGAGUUGUCCUGCUGCCCUCCACUAG
rnacentral:rRNA from 1 species